rnacentral:rRNA from 1 species
GCGGCGGACGGGUGAGUAACACGUGGAUAACCUACCUAUAAAACUGGGAUAACUUCGGGAAACCGGAGCUAAUACCAUAUAAUAUAUUGAACCGCAUGGUUCACAGUGAAAGACGGUUUUGCUGUCACUUAUAAAUGGAUCCGCGCCSCAUUACCUAGUUGGGAAGGUAACGGCUUACCAAGGCAACGAUGCGUACCCGACCUGAAAGGGUGAUCGGCCACACUGGAACUGAAACACGGUCCAAACUCCUACGGGAGGCAGCAGUAGGGAAUCUUCCGCAAUGGGCGAAAGCCUGACGGAGCAACGCCGCGUGAGUGAUGAAGGUCUUCGGAUCGUAAAACUCUGUUAUUAGGGAAGAACAAAUGUGUAAGUAAAUAUGCACGUCUUGACGGUACCUAAUCAGAAAGCCACGGCUAACUACGUGCCAGCAGCCGCGGUAAUACGUAGGUGGCAAGCGUUAUCCGGAAUUAUUGGGCGUAAAGCGCGCGUAGGCGGUUUUUUAAGUCUGAUGUGAAGCCCACGGCUCACCCGUGAGGGUCAUUGAAACUGGAAACUUGAGUGCAGAAGAGAAGUGA